rnacentral:rRNA from 1 species
CUUGCUUUUCUUGACUUAGUGGCGAACGGGUGAGUAACGCGUGAGUAACCUGCCCUGGAGUGGGGGACAACAGUUGGAAACGACUGCUAAUACCGCAUAAGCCCACGGCCCGGCAUCGGGCUGCGGGAAAAGGAUUUAUUCGCUUCAGGAUGGACUCGCGUCCAAUUAGCUAGUUGGUGAGGUAACGGCCCACCAAGGCGACGAUUGGUAGCCGGACUGAGAGGUUGAACGGCCACAUUGGGACUGAGACACGGCCCAGACUCCUACGGGAGGCAGCAGUGGGGGAUAUUGCACAAUGGGGGAAACCCUGAUGCAGCGACGCCGCGUGGAGGAAGAAGGUUUUCGGAUUGUAAACUCCUGUCGUUAGGGACGAUAAUGACGGUACCUAACAAGAAAGCACCGGCUAACUACGUGCCAGCAGCCGCGGUAAAACGUAGGGUGCAAGCGUUGUCCGGAAUUACUGGGGGUAAAGGGAGCGCAGGCGGACCGGCAAGUUGGAAGUGAAAACUAUGGGCUCAACCCAUAAAUUGCUUUCAAAACUGCUGGCCUUGAGUAGUGCAGAGGUAGGUGGAAUUCCCGGUGUAGCGGUGGAAUGCGUAGAUAUCGGGAGGAACACCAGUGGCGAAGGCGACCUACUGGGCACCAACUGACGCUGAGGCUCGAAAGCAUGGGUAGCAAACAGGAUUAGAUACCCUGGUAGUCCAUGCCGUAAACGAUGAUUAUUAGGUGUGGGAGGAUUGACCCCUUCAGUGCCGCAGUUAACACAAUAAGUAAUCCACUCGGGGAGUA